rnacentral:tRNA from 1 species
ACUUGAAUAGCUUAUAUUAUAGAGCAUAACAUUGAAGAUGUUAAUGAGAUUUAUUUAAUCUUUAAGUA